CUACGGGCCGCAGCAGUGAGGAAUAUUGCACAAUGGGGGGAACCCUGAUGCAGCAACGCCGCGUGGAGGAUGACGCAUUUCGGUGUGUAAACUCCUUUUAUAUGUCAAGAAAAUGACGGUAGCAUAUGAAUAAGCACCGGCUAACUCCGUGCCAGCAGCCGCGGUAAUACGGAGGGUGCAAGCGUUACUCGGAAUCACUGGGCGUAAAGGACGCGUAGGCGGGUUGGAAAGUCAGGUGUGAAAUCCUACAGCUUAACUGUAGAACUGCACUUGAAACUUCUAAUCUAGAGUAUGGGAGUGGGAGAUGGAAUUUGUGGUGUAGGGGUAAAAUCCGUAGAUAUCACUAGGAAUACCUAAAGCGAAGGCGAUCUCCUGGAACAUUACUGACGCUAAGGCGUGAAAGCGUGGGGAGCAAACAGGAUUAGAUACCCCCGUAGUC
rnacentral:rRNA from 1 species